rnacentral:rRNA from 1 species
UUAGAGGAAGGAGAAGUCGUAACAAGGUUUCCGUAGGUGAACUUGCGGAAGGAUCAUUGUCGAAUCUGCUUCAUGCAAAAACUUCUUUCAAGAAUCAAAAUGACUCUCGGCAACGGAUAUCUCGGCUCUCGCAUCGAUGAAGAACACAGCAAAAUGCGAUACUUGGUGUGAAUUGCAGAAUCCCGUGAAUCAUCGAGUUUUUGAACGCAAGUUGCGCCCGAAGCCUUUCGGCCAAGGGCACGCCUGCCUGGGUGUCACGCAUACGUCGCCCCAUCCUCCCAACACCUCGGGAGUCAUGGGAGCAGAAGUUGGCCUCCUGUGUGCCUUGCGCAUGUGGUUGGCCCAAAAUGCAUGUUCGCGGCAAAUGAUAGCCAUGACGAUCGGUGGUUGUAAAGACCCUCUGAAAAAGUCGUGCGCUGUUCUUAGCCGUCGGGACAUUCCUUGACCCUAGGGCGUCCUCAGGGCGCGCUCCGACCGCGACCCCAGGUCAGGCGGGACUACCCGCUGAG